rnacentral:tRNA from 1 species
GAAUAUGAAGUGAUAAAUUACGAUUAGUUUCGACCUAAUAUUAGGUAUACCCAUACCCUUAUUCU